rnacentral:rRNA from 1 species
UACGGUGGGGGCAAGCGUUGUUCGGAAUUACUGGGCGUAAAGGGCUCGUAGGCGGCCAAUUAAGUCAGACGUGAAAUCCCUCGGCUUAACCGGGGAACUGCGUCUGAUACUGGAUGGCUUGAAUCCGGGAGAGGGAUGCGGAAUUCCAGGUGUAGCGGUGAAAUGCGUAGAUAUCUGGAGGAACACCGGUGGCGAAGGCGGCAGCCUGGACCGGCAUUGACGCUGAGGAGCGAAAGCGUGGGGAGCAAACAGG